UAAUACUGGAUAGGCAAUUAUUCCUGUAAUGGUUUUUUGUUUAAAUGUUUUUUCGCCUAAGGAUGGGUUCUGCGCCCGAUUAGGUAGUUGGUUAGGUAAUGGCUUACCAAGCCUUUGAUCGGUACGGGUUGUGAGAGCAAGAGCCCGGAGAUGGAACCUGAGACAAGGUUCCAGGCCCUACGGGGUGCAGCAGGCGCGAAACCUCCGCAAUGUGAGAAAUCGCGACGGGGGGAUCCCAAGUGCCAUUCUUAACGGGAUGGCUUUUCAUUAGUGUAAAGAGCUUUUGGAAUAAGAGCUGGGCAAGACCGGUGCCAGCCGCCGCGGUAACACCGGCAGCUGUAGUGGUAGCAGUUUUUAUUGGGCCUAAAGCGUCCGUAGCCGGUUUAAUAAGUCUCUGGUGAAAUCCUGCAGCUUAACUGUGGGAAUUGCUGGAGAUACUAUUAGACUUGAGAUCGGGAGAGGUUAGAGGUACUCCCAGGGUAGAGGUGAAAUUCUGUAAUCCUGGGAGGACCGCCUGUUGCGAAGGCGUCUGACUGGAACGAUUCUGACGGUGAGGGACGAAAGCUAGGGGCGCGAACCGGAUUAGAUACCCGGGUAGUCCUAGCUGUAACGAUGCGGACUUGGUGUUU
rnacentral:rRNA from 1 species